rnacentral:lncRNA from 1 species
ACGCGCUGAUCACGGAACAGAACUGCGGUCGUUCGUAACAGAAUGCGUAUCAACAGUGCGGACUUGUUCCCUGUCCAUAUAAGGAUGGACGUGAUCCCUCUCGUUCCAUCGAGCCGCUUAGGAAGAGAACAAGACCCGUCGCCGAGAGUGCCAUGCCAGGAGCCCAUGUCCUCGUAACCCAUAGGUGGAGCAAACUCAAACAGAAAGCUUCGUCAGGUGAGCAGAGAGAACCGUGUGAGGGUACUCGUGGACAGACCAAGCGCUAUUGGUGAUAGGAGCACUCAUGAUUUCUCGCCGGCGUCAAGGACUGCGGCUGGCCGCACUAUGCCCUGGACCCGCAAUUUCGAAACCCGAUCUCUGGUAUGGACUCGCUUCCGCUAAUUGUACAUGAUUAGAGGAUUCUCUAGCACAUAUGCACGCUCGGAUUGGUUCGCCUGGUCGCCCAACCCUCUACUCGCCAGCGAAACGCCGCCGCGGGCUGCGCUGGAGCCGCCCGGUCUUCGGUCUGCUGUUGGAUAGAAGAAACGUAUCAGCCGUCGAUCGCGACGUGUACGACUGCAAUUGGAUGCGCUUGGGGUCGGUUCGGUCGGGGUAAUAGGAUCCGUUCGAUCUAGAUCUGGGGGUUGUGGCUAGUUCUCGCUUAUUUUAAAUCUGGUUCGCAGAUCUCGGAAUCAAUGGUUGCCGUGCGGCUGUGAUCGCGCCCUGAUUCAUAAUAAAGUUGAUCUAAUCUGGGCCAUCCAGCGUUGAUCCAACGGCCGAGAUCCACCAAUACCCUUCCGUCCGAAUGGUUAUUUAAAAGAACCCCGGGAAAUGUUAGAAUUAACCCACCGUCCUGAUGCAGUGGUAGAAAAUUUAAUCUAUGCCCCUGAAAUUUGUGGUUUAGCCCCUGGUCUUUAAGGUAUUAGUGUUCACAGUUCGGAUAUUGAAUAAAAUGAGUAUAUUAAUGUAGAAAAUGAGUUUUAGUAUGAAAACAAUUUUAGAAACUUGUAUAAUUCAUAUUUAAUUCAUUUUAACUUCAAAUUGAUCCAUUCCAGUGGCAUUAAUUUUGUUUUAAUAUUGUUUAUCACAUAUUACCUUUGUUUAACCAUGAAACUUGAAUUAAAAUUGCUCGAUUGAAUUAAUCUAUUCUAGGUGCUAAAUAAUUUCAGAAAUUCAUAACUCAAUAACCGUAACUCUGUUUUAAUCCAUUCUGGUUGCAUUAGUCUCACAAUAAUAUCUAUUAUCAUCUGGUAACUUUGUUUUGUCAUGAAAUAUAGGUUAAAAUAUUGCACUUAGUCUAUUCUAUAUUUAACCACAUAGAUAUUCGGAAAAUCAUAACUCGAUAGCCGUAGCCCCGAAUUUAGUGGUUCUUGUUUCUACGAUCUCGUUACGACGUGUAGAUUAUUAUUAUGCAGUUUGUGCUUAUGUUUGGUGUAAUGUUAAUUUUGCCUAUACCAUGUUUGUAUGUAUUGCUACGUUUAGCAGUGAGGACACGUGUCAUCUGAAAAGCAAGUUGGUACCUAGAAUCUCAAUUCCCAGGCAAGUUGUGCCCUUGAUCACUUCUUUUUACCCACUCAUGUUCUGAUUAAUCAUAAUGAUCUGCAUAGGUUAAUUUUGAUGGGACCCAAUAGGUUACCCCAGUUUGACUAUCUUUAUACCUUGUUCACCACUGAAUCUUUGGGUAGUACCUGAUAUUGCUUUAUGUGGUUUUGGGUAUAGAGAUACAUUUUAUUCAUGAUUAUACUUUGUUAUCAGUUUGUUAAUUAUUGUUCAUGAUAAGAUCAUUAUGUUAAUUGGAACAUGGAGAACCACCCGGGAAAACAGUGCUACCACAAGGGUUUAAUGGGACGCCCUUGGCCAACUAACUAGGAAAGCUAGUGGAAGACUACCUUACCCGAAAGGGGCAAGGGCAGUAGGGGAGUGGUCGGUGUAGGGAGGCCCUUGGGAUGAUUUUGCUGCGAUGGCGGUCAUGCGAGGGAUUCUUGCAUUGGAGCUUCCUAUAAACUGUAGCGGGUUUUCUGAAGCUAGUGGAACUUUGUAAAGGCCUCGUAGUGUUACCCUGCCUUGACUCCUCGGUACAGGUGUAUGGGAUUGGCCGUCUCUUGGCAGAUGGGUAACAUGACUUGUGGGUAAAGAUGUGCAACCUCUGCAGAGUGUAAAACUGGUAUACUAGCCGUGCUCACGGUCAUGAGCAGCUCGGACACUCACAUGAUUAAAUUAUGAAACUUAAAUUCAAUUUGUCAUAUGCAUUGCAUCGCAGGUGAGGUUGUUACUUUUGUUAUGCUACUUAAUUGGGUUGGUAUUUACUUAUACUUAGUAAUUGCUAAUAAAAUUUUGACCAACUUUAAAAGCAAUGCUCAGCUCUAACCAUCCUCUUUGGUAAGCCUUACACUUCACGUGAGCUCCCACCUUUGGCGAGUUCAUGCACAUUAUUCCCCACAACUUGUUGAGCGAUGAACGUAUAUGAGCUCACUCUUGCUGUCUCACACCCCCCACAGGUCAAGAACAGGUACCACAGGAUGAGGCGCAUGAAGGAUGCUGCGAUGUGUUCGUGAGAGGUCUAGGUCGUCGUCUCCCAGUCAACUUUGGGUUGCUGGACCGUUGUCUCCUUAUAAUGUAUUUAUUUAUUUAUUUUGUACAAAACUCCUAUUAUAUAGUAAAGACGUGACAUUCGAUCCUAUGCCAUGAUUCAUCAUAUGUGUGAGACUUGGUCCCAGCACACCUGGUGAUUAUGUUCGCACCCGGGUCUUGGUGCCCUGAAAUCCGGGUGUGAUAGAAGUGGUAUCAGAGGAAUGUUGACUAUAAGACAAAACCUAGAUAGAACUGGACAACCAUUGUCUACUUACCUUUGCUACUCUGAUUCUUUAUCUAAACUUUCCUUAAUCUUUUCUCAUCCAUUGUUGCUUUACUCUGAUUAUUCUUAUCUUUUCCUUCUAAAGACAAAUGUGGAUUUCACACUUUGAAAUCUUGUGCCUGAAGUGACCUCUAGGACUAGGAGACCUACUCUUAGGAACAAAAUCAAAACUAUUUUCGUAAAUAUUUGUAUGCUUGAAUGUUUGUUCUUGUGAUACAUGUCUGAUUUGGAUCUUUGAUUGAGUGUGAUGAGUUGUGGAGUAUUGUCCACAAUUACAUCUGCAUAUACAUAUAGGCAUAAAUAUAAACAAAUAAAAUUCAUAAGAUAACUAGACAAACUAGAUUAUUCCUCAUUAAAGUAUCUAGCCUAACAAUAUCCAUCUAAUCUGGAAAGAUUCUAUCUUACUCAUAGAUCCAUCUUAUCCUAAAAAUAAUAAUAUAUACUCAUCAUAUCAUGAAAAGAUUUUAUCUAAUCCUAAUAGAUCUAACUGACCUCAAAAGAAUCUACCUUAUCCCUAGGGAUCCAUCUUGCCCUAAGUAACAUAUUUAUCCCACUCUAGAAUAACAACCAUGAGAUAAUCCCAAAAUUUAUUUAGAUCUUAUCUGGUCUCGGCUCGUCAUACCAAUCUAAUCUAGAUCACAUCUAAUCUAAUAUGAUCCAAUAUAAAGGGAGCUACUUAAACAAGUUAGUUAAUACUGGUAACCUAGAUUAGACCAUAUUCCUAUAAAUGGGUUUUAAACCUAAAUUGAUGUCUUAGAUCAACUCGUCCGUGAAACCCCGACCUAACCUAUGUUAUAGGUUGCCCAAUCCAUUUGUUCCAAAAGCAAAGUAAAACUCUGUUCAAACUUACCUACCUCGUGUACCCCGGCUAUCCUAACCACAUAUCCUUAACUCGGAUGGCAACUCCAAGAAGAAAGGCCAAAGAAGACCAACCACGUCAAAGAAGGAUAAGCAUCAACUCAAGUCUUCAAAGAUCAAGUUGGAUCGCCAGAGGAAUCAAGAUCCAGAGUUCAGGAUGAAGUCUUUCCUUAUUAUACUCUUCCUUGCCACAACCUAUACUUGCCAUAACCGUACUUCAUCUGGCCUAAUAAAUGGCUAGACAUAUGUAUAUCCAUAUAUUCCAAAUCAUCUACUAACGUGUAUAAAAAAACUUCAAACAAAACUUUUGAUUCCUAAACCAAAUGAGAAACUAAAUUUCAAACCAAACUGGUUGCAUCCCUUUUUCUUAUAAAUCUCGAGGACGAGAUUUCUGUUAAGGGGGUAGGAUUUGUAACACCUUAAUUGUUGAACUAACAAAAUCUUUUGAGAUUUAGUUUAAUUUGUAAGGAAUUGAGUUCUAAUGAUUUCUAGCAAGGAUUUCCUUUCUUUUCAACAGUUAUUUCUCUAAAUAAAUAACAAGAUGUAAAAAUAUUUGCUAUUAAUAUAAAUAAAUAACAACUACUUAGUUUUGAAUGAAAUACUAAAUUUAACUACGCUGGAGUAGUUUUAUUUGUUUGUUAAGAAAAUAUUGUAAAUGUGUGCAUUACAUAUUUAAAACAUUUAGCUAAUUAAUGAAAUAAAUAUAAACAUACAUUUAAAUGCAUUUCAUGAUUGACACGUUUUGUUGUUACAUUUAAAUCAAAUUCGAAAUAAAAACAAGAGAUCAGUAUUGAAUUUGAAUAUUUGAAACUGAAAUAAAACAGAAAUUAGAAAAAAAGAGCAAUCUCCUUCCGCGCGGCCCUUUUCUUUGUUGGCCCAUUUUCUCUAUUCCGCGGGGCCUAAUUAGUCUCCACGUUUCAUUUUUUUCAUUUUUGUUUUCUAGCCGCAAAUGAUGACAUCAGCACAUGCAUCGAGUCGGUCACUAUAUUAUGGGUCCGCCGUUUAGUAUCCAUCUCCAACCACGCGCUGAUCACGGAACAGAACUGCGGCCGUUCGUAACAGAAUGCGUAUCAACAGUGCGGACUUGUUCCCUGUCCAUAUAAGGAUGGACGUGAUCCCUCUCGUUCCAUCGAGCCGCUUAGGAAGAGAACAAGACCCGUCGCCGAGAGUGCCAUGCCAGGAGCCCAUGUCCCCGUAACCCAUAGGUGGAGCAAACUCAAACAGAAAGCUUC